GAUGAACGCUGGCGGCGUGCUUAACACAUGCAAGUCGAACGAUGAAGCCCAGCUUGCUGGGUGGAUUAGUGGCGAACGGGUGAGUAACACGUGAGUAACCUGCCCUUGACUCUGGGAUAAGCCUGGGAAACUGGGUCUAAUACUGGAUAUGACUUCUCAUCGCAUGGUGGGGGGUGGAAAGAUUUAUUGGUCUUGGAUGGACUCGCGGCCUAUCAGCUUGUUGGUGAGGUAAUGGCUCACCAAGGCGACGACGGGUAGCCGGCCUGAGAGGGUGACCGGCCACACUGGGACUGAGACACGGCCCAGACUCCUACGGGAGGCAGCAGUGGGGAAUAUUGCACAAUGGGCGCAAGCCUGAUGCAGCGACGCCGCGUGAGGGGUGACGGCCUUCGGGUUGUAAACCUCUUUCAGUAGGGAAGAAGCGAGAGUGACGGUACCUGCAGAAGAAGCGCCGGCUAACUACGUG
rnacentral:rRNA from 1 species